rnacentral:misc_RNA from 1 species
GAUGAAGAACGUAGCGAAAUGCGAUAAGUAAUGUGAAUUGCAGAAUUCAGUGAAUCAUCGAAUCUUUGAACGCACAUUGCGCCCUCUGGUAUUCCGGGGGGCAUGCCUGUUCGAGCGUCAUUACAACCCUCAAGCCCCCGGGCUUGGUGUUGGGGAUCGGCGAGCCUCCGCGCCCGCCGUCCCCUAAAUCUAGUGGCGGUCUCGCUGUAGCUUCCUCUGCGUAGUAGCACACCUCGCACUGGGAAACAGCGCGGCCACGCCGUUAAACCCCCAACUUCUGAACGUUUGACCUCGGAUCAGGUAGGAAUACCCGCUGAACUUAAGCAUAUCAAUAAGCGGAGGA